UGAAGGAUCAUUAAUUAUGUUAAAGCGCCUUACCUCUUAGGGUUUCCUCUGGGGUAAGUGAUUGCUUCGACACUGUGAAAAUUUGGCUGAGAGACUCAGACUGGUCAUGGGUAGACCUAUCUGGGGUUUGAUCGAAGCCACUCCUGGUUUCAGGAGCACCCUUCAUAAUAAACCUAGAAAUUCAGUAUUAUAAAGUUUAAUAAUAAACAACUUUUAACAAUGGAUCUCUUGGUUCUCGCAUCGAUGAAGAACGUAGCAAAGUGCGAUAACUAGUGUGAAUUGCAUAUUCAGUGAAUCAUCGAGUCUUUGAACGCAGCUUGCACUCUAUGGUUUUUCUAUUGAGUACGCCUGCUUCAGUAUCAUCACAAACCCACACAUAACAUUUGUUUAUGUGGUAAUGGGUCGCAACGCUGUUUUAUUACAGUGAGCACCUAAAAUGUGUGUGAUUUUCUGUCUGGCUUGCUAGGCAGGAAUAUCACGCUGGUCUCAGGAUCUUUUUCUUUGGUUCGCCCAGGAAGUAAAGUACAAGAGUAUAAUCCAGCAAUUUUCAAACUAUGAUCUGAAGUCAGUGG
rnacentral:sRNA from 2 species